rnacentral:rRNA from 1 species
UACAGAGGGGGCAAGCGUUAUUCGGAAUUAUUGGGCGUAAAGGGCGCGUAGGCGGCUUGGCAAGUGGAUGGUGAAAUCCCUCGGCUUAACCGAGGAACUGCCGUCCAAACUGCUUUGCUUGAGACCGGGAGAGGUGAGUGGAAUUCCCAGUGUAGCGGUGAAAUGCGUAGAUAUUGGGAGGAACACCAGUGGCGAAGGCGGCUCACUGGACCGGUACUGACGCUGAAGCGCGAAAGCGUGGGGAGCAAACGGG